CUACGUGCCAGCAGCCGCGGUAAUACGGAAGGUCCAGGCGUUAUCCGGAUUUAUUGGGUUUAAAGGGAGCGUAGGCUGGAGAUUAAGUGUGUUGUGAAAUGUAGACGCUCAACGUCUGAAUUGCAGCGCAUACUGGUUUCCUUGAGUACGCACAACGUUGGCGGAAUUCGUCGUGUGGCGGUGAAAUGCUUAGAUAUGACGAAGAACUCCGAUUGCGAAGGCAGCUGACGGGAGCGCAACUGACGCUUAAGCUCGAAGGUGCGGGUAUCGAACAGGAUUAGAUACCCUGGUAGUCCGCACAGUAAACGAUGGAUGCCCGCUGUUGGUACCUGGUAUCAGCGGCUAAGCGAAAGCAUUAAGCAUCCCACCUGGGGAGUACGCCGGCAACGGUGAAACUCAAAGGAAUUGACGGGGGCCCGCACAAGCGGAGGAACAUGUGGUUUAAUUCGAUGAUACGCGAGGAACCUUACCCGGGCUUGAAUUGCAGAGGAGUUAUUUAGAGAUA
rnacentral:rRNA from 1 species